CUACGGGCCGCUGCAGUGGGGAAUAUUGCACAAUGGGCGCAAGCCUGAUGCAGCCAUGCCGCGUGUAUGAAGGAGGCCUUCGGGUUGUAAAGUACUUUCAGCGGGGAGGAAGGGAGUAAAGUUAAUACCUUUGCUCAUUGACGUUACCCGCAGAAGAAGCACCGGCUAACUCCGUGCCAGCAGCCGCGGUAAUACGGAGGGUGCAAGCGUUAAUCGGAAUUACUGGGCGUAAAGCGCACGCAGGCGGUUUGUUAAGUCAGAUGUGAAAUCCCCGGGCUCAACCUGGGAACUGCAUCUGAUACUGGCAAGCUAGAGUCUCGUAGAGGGGGGUAGAAUUCCAGGUGUAGCGGUGAAAUGCGUAGAGAUCUGGAGGAAUACCGGUGGCGAAGGCGGCCCCCUGGACGAAGACUGACGCUCAGGUGCGAAAGCGUGGGGAGCAAACAGGAUUAGAUACCCGCGUAGUC
rnacentral:rRNA from 1 species